rnacentral:lncRNA from 1 species
GUUUAAAACUCAAGACUUACAGGAAAGAAAAUGAAAAUGAGAUGCCUCUCAUAUUGUGCUUGCAGCAAAGACAUUCAUUAGCAUUCUCUGUCUUUCUGCCUGCCAAGGCCCAAACAAAAGAUACGGUCUGGAACAAUGGCCUGAAAUGAGGAACACAACCAAAGCAGCCGUGGAGGAAGCCUGCUGUUUCCCAUGGUUUGGAGACCUGGAGCCAAUAUAUAGUGUCCUAAGCAGAUGUGUGGAAGUGGAAAAUGCCUCAAAUGACAUUGUAACAAAACAGUUUUGGCCGCUUCUGGAACUUCUCUGCCUGCUGGACCCCAGCAAAUCUGAUGCUAUACUAGUGAUGUCAGCUGAAGUUACUAUGUUGAGUGGAGUGGGCGGUGGUGAAGCCUCCAAAGACACGCAACCUCUCCAUGAGGAAGGGGUACCUGCCGUCUCUCCUAGAGGGGGUCAAUGCCUCCAGGACCCUUCAGUCACUGCAGAGCGUGUGGACAUCCUCCCUCUGUGAAGGAAGCAUGAUGUCGUGCCUCCUUUGCUAACUGACACAAAGACAAGGAAGAACAAGAGGGAAGAAGGAAAUUUGAUUCUUCACGUUGAAGCAUUAAUUUCUUGAAUUUGGAGGUACAAAAAGUGUGGCUUUUGUUCCAGUAACAACUCUUGCCUUUAGUUUCUUUUAACAUUACCCUGAUGGUAAGUAGGUAAAAAAUCAUACUCAUUUGUGAAAAAGCACUUUUUGCAUAGUGUAUGUAGCAAUAUCAGGAGAUAGGGGUAGAAUUUCAAAGUGGU